rnacentral:rRNA from 1 species
UACGGAGGAUCCAAGCGUUACCCGGAAUUAUUGGGCGUAAAGAGUUACGUAGGCGGUCUGUUAAGUGAUGUGCGAAACCGCAGGGCUCAACCCUGCGCCGGUACGUCAUACUGGCAGACUAGAGGAUGGUAGAGGUGAGUGGAAUUGGCAGUGUAGGAGUGAAAUCCGUAGAUAUUGCCAGGAACACCAAUGGCGAAGGCAGCUCACUGGGCCAUUCCUGACGCUAAGGUACGAAAGCGUGGGGAGCGAACCGG